CCCCCCCCCCCGCGCGCUCUCAAGGAAGCCCCCUCCCCUUCCUCCAGCCAAUCCCACGCAAGCAGCGAAGAGAGCGCGCAGGCGCCUCGCGCUUCAUGCCCCGCCCUCCCUCCUGCCUCUGAGGGCGCCCCUCGCUGUGGGGGGAGGGGGCACGCGCGCGCGCUUUGCCUGCCUGCCUGUGAAGGACGAAAGGCAAGCGAACGCCUCGAGCCGCCCGGCAACCGUCGCCUGCCUCCUUGCCCGCCUCAGGGUGGGGCGGUUUUAUGGAGAGGCUUUCCCCCUCAAAGGAUGCGUGGAAGCGGACGUUUAGACUCCGCGCCCCUCAAAGGCACAGGACGAGUCCAAAGCCCGCCUAUGAGGAUAUCUCUGAUUGGUCCGCAUGAUUGAGAGUGACCAGAAGAGACACUUUUAUAAUAUGAGAACAAAAUACCAUAUUCCAAGAUGGCAAGUCAGAAUAAAAAGAUUUACACCAAAAAAGAACUAGAAUCAGGCAAAUCAUCAUAUAUUGGUAAUACACAAAACCAACAAGUUAAAGAACUGAAAUGACAAUUGCAUGGGGAUUUCAAGUGAUGCAAGCCACCAGAGAAUGAAGGUGAGGUGUUCAGUAAAAAAGUUAUCUUUUUUGAGCCACAUCAAGCUGUGAUGAGAAAGCUUCCAUGUUCCCCCAGAGGCACAAGAAUGAAAACAACUGGUAGUGGUAUCCACAUCAAAAAUUACACUAUAUCUUCAGAUGCCAUCUUUGGUUGUAAUCUUUUGUUGAAGGAAGGGGGUGAGACUCGACAGAAAAAGGUCUACAGUAGUUCCUGUUCUAAAAAUAAACCAUGACUUUCCCCUGCAAAACUCUGUUGUGAUAAAAACUAUUUCUCUUUCUCAAGUUGACAGAUGGAUUGGAACAUUGUAAUUAGUCCCCAUCUUACCAAAUAAAGAGGAUAUUUUCAGCUGCAGCCAGAACCUAAUGUAAGGAGUUUCCAAAGGGCUCCUCAUACUACUAGUUAGUGUGGACUAUGCAAACCAACAAAAAUUCUUUUGUUAGAAUCUCUGUUGGAAACAAGCCAUCAUGGUUGAGUAAUAAUCUGUGUGCAACACCAACUGCCUUUCCAAAAACAAAAAUCAUGGAAAAUUACAGAUUUUUUUAGAUUUGCAUCUAUAUUAUGGAGUUAUGUAAUCGUAACCAAUACUUGAGGUGUUCCUGUUUUUAUUGUUUAUUUUAAUGAUUGAAUUUUGUUUUUUUAACAUUUUGGCUGUGUGAAGAAAUUUCUUCCCAAACAUUGUAGUCCAAGAUUUCCUGAAUAGUGAUUUGAAUCAGAGCAGUCAAGAUAAAGAAGGAAGACGGUAUCGACUUAGAAUCCACCGAAUCAUUGCUUCCAAUUCAAAAAAGGAUAUUGUCUCUAUAUAUUUGUAAAUGUUGGUCAUUGAUUUAUUGUGAAGCAUUUGUGUCAGCUAUUGAAUUGACUCUUUGAAUAACUUGACACUUCAACUGGAGGUUUAAAGAAUAAAUAUGGAAAAUAAAAGGCAGAGUUUCUUAGAUGAA